GCAUCACUGCACACAGCCCGCCACCGCCAUCUUGAACCGCCGGUCCUGCUCAGCGCUUCUGCAAUGGGUCGUCUGACUUGAGGUGUUGGGUGCAGUCGUUUUGCACUAGGAGCUCUGGUCCGAAGUGCCAGGUGAGAGGCCUCUGCAUUCCGUCCCCUGGGAACAAGUGAAACUAAGCACAAAGGAAAAGACAAUAAGCCCUUUUAUAUCCACAUGUGGAUGAGGAGUUAAAGAUACAUGAGUAGCACUGAGGCAGAUGAAGAGGAAUGAGGCAGAAUGAGUGUUCCAAGAAGAGAAGACACCAUAUUUGAAAUGCCAGACAUCAGUGAGAAUGUGGGGUGUUUGAGAAACCAAGAGAAAUCCUAUGCAUUAUGAUGCUAAAAUGCAAGCUUUGAUUUUAAGUCUUUUCAGGAGAGAAAUGGAGCCAUGGAACAAAAUGAUCUCUAAGUUUACUUCUGGAUUUAAAAACUUUGUAUCUGAAGUUGUUUCAAGUGAACUCAAAAAAGAAAAAAAAAAAAAGGGCCUUGACCACUCAGUUACCCAGUCCCAAAACCUGAGUUCUACUCUUCUUCGUCCUUCAGAGAGAGAUAAAAUGAUAAAACAAAUACUACAAAAUGUUAAUGGGUGAACCUGAUAAAUAAUAUGUAAGUUU